UCUUACGGAUGAGCAAAUAAAGUGAUUUCUUUAGAUGGAGUUUACUUCUGGUGAAGAUGGUGUGAA
rnacentral:pre_miRNA from 1 species